UCACUGACCCUGCAUGCAGCUAAAA
rnacentral:misc_RNA from 1 species